rnacentral:rRNA from 1 species
GGAGCUUGCUCUUCUUGGAUGAGUUGCGAACGGGUGAGUAACGCGUAGGUAACCUGCCUUGUAGCGGGGGAUAACUAUUGGAAACGAUAGCUAAUACCGCAUAACAAUGGGUGACUCAUGUCAUUUAUUUGAAAGGGGCAAAUGCUCCACUACAAGAUGGACCUGCGUUGUAUUAGCUAGUAGGUGAGGUAACGGCUCACCUAGGCGACGAUACAUAGCCGACCUGAGAGGGUGAUCGGCCACACUGGGACUGAGACACGGCCCAGACUCCUACGGGAGGCAGCAGUAGGGAAUCUUCGGCAAUGGACGGAAGUCUGACCGAGCAACGCCGCGUGAGUGAAGAAGGUUUUCGGAUCGUAAAGCUCUGUUGUAAGAGAAGAACGAGUGUGAGAGUGGAAAGUUCACACUGUGACGGUAUCUUACCAGAAAGGGACGGCUAACUACGUGCCAGCAGCCGCGGUAAUACGUAGGUCCCGAGCGUUGUCCGGAUUUAUUGGGCGUAAAGCGAGCGCAGGCGGUUAGAUAAGUCUGAAGUUAAAGGCUGUGGCUUAACCAUAGUACGCUUUGGAAACUGUCAAACUUGAGUGCAAGAGGGGAGAGUGGAAUUCCAUGUGUAGCGGUGAAAUGCGUAGAUAUAUGGAGGAACACCGGUGGCGAAAGCGGCUCUCUGGCUUGUAACUGACGCUG